rnacentral:ncRNA from 1 species
GGGUGCACCGCUGCCGAAGGCGCAGCGGCGCAGGCUUGACGGGUGGUCGGGCCGCCAUCC